CCCUUAGAUGUUCUGGGCCGCACGCGUAUUACAAUGGCGUUUUCACUUGGCAUUCAAUGCCUGUAAAAGGGCAUGGUAUCUCAUGAAAAAACGUCAAAAUCGGGAUUGGCUUUUGGAAUUAUUGGCCUUGAACGAGGAAUUCCUUGUAAUUGCAAAUCAUCAGUUUGCGAUGAAUACGUCCCUGCCCUUUGUACACACCGCCCGUCGCUCCUACCGAUCGAAGAGUUAGGUGAAUUGUUUUGAUCGAUAAGAUUUGACUAUGGUCAACUCUCGUUGUGAAAUUCUGUGAAUCUGACUGUUUAGAGGAAGGAAAAGUCGUAACA
rnacentral:rRNA from 1 species